rnacentral:rRNA from 1 species
AGCGAACGCUGGCGGCAGGCCUAACACAUGCAAGUCGAACGGAUCCUUCGGGAUUAGUGGCGGACGGGUGAGUAACACGUGGGAACGUGCCCUUUGGUUCGGAACAACUCAGGGAAACUUGAGCUAAUACCGGAUGUUCCCUUCGGGGGAAAGAUUUAUCGCCAUUGGAGCGGCCCGCGUCUGAUUAGCUACUUGGUGAGGUAACGGCCCACCAAGGCGACGAUCAGUAGCUGGUCUGAGAGGAUGAUCAGCCACACUGGGACUGAGACACGGCCCAGACUCCUACGGGAGGCAGCAGUGGGGAAUCUUGCGCAAUGGGCGAAAGCCUGACGCAGCCAUGCCGCGUGAAUGAUGAAGGUCUUAGGAUUGUAAAAUUCUUUCAGCGGGGACGAUAAUGACGGUACCCGCAGAAGAAGCUCCGGCUAACUUCGUG